rnacentral:rRNA from 1 species
UACGUAGGGGGCUAGCGUUGUCCGGAAUCAUUGGGCGUAAAGCGCGUGUAGGCGGUCCGGUAAGUCCGCUGUGAAAGUCGGGGGCUCAACCCUCGAAUGCCGGUGGAUACUGUCGGGCUAGAGUGCGGAAGAGGCGAGUGGAAUUCCUGGUGUAGCGGUGAAAUGCGCAGAUAUCAGGAAGAACACCCGUGGCGAAGGCGGCUCUCUGGGGACGGGUACUGACGCUGAGACGCGAAAGCGUGGGGAGCGAACAGG